GCACAAGCAGUGGAGUAUGUGGUUUAAUUCGACGCAACGCGAAGAACCUUACCAGGUCUUGACAUCAAGUGACUGCCUAAGAGAUUAGGCUUUCCCUUSGGGGACACAAAGACAGGUGGUGCAUGGUUGUCGUCAGCUCGUGUCGUGAGAUGUUGGGUUAAGUCCCGCAACGAGCGCAACCCUUAUCAUUAGUUGCUACGCAAGAGCACUCUAAUGAGACUGCCGUUGACAAAA
rnacentral:rRNA from 1 species